rnacentral:tRNA from 1 species
GCCCUCAUAGCUCAGGGGAUAGAGCGCCGGCCUCCGGAGCCGGGUGCGCAGGUUCGAAUCCUGCUGGGGGCG